rnacentral:rRNA from 1 species
AGCGAACGCUGGCGGCGUGCCUAACACAUGCAAGUCGAACGUGAAAGGGAGCAAUCCCAAGUAAAGUGGCGUACGGGUGAGUAACACGUAGGUAAUCUACCCCAGAAUCUGGAAUAACCGGCCGAAAGGCUGGCUAAUACUGGAUAGAGCGACGGAAUCCGUAAUUGGGUUUUUCGGGAAAGGGAGCCUGUAAAAAGGCCUUCGUUCUGGGAUGAGCCUGCGUCCCAUCAGCUAGUUGGUGAGGUAAAAGCUUACCAAGGCAAUGACGGGUAGCUGGUCUGGGAGGACGAUCAGCCACACUGGAACUGAAACACGGGCCAGACUCCUACGGGAGGCAGCAGUGGGGAAUCUUGCGCAAUGGACGAAAGUCUGACGCAGCAACGCCGCGUGAGUGAAGAAGGCCUUCGGGUUGUAAAGCUCGGUCGAGUGGGACGAAAAUGCUUGGAGUUCACAGCUCCAGGAACUGACGGUACCACUAAAGGAAGCACCGGCUAACUCCGUG